rnacentral:rRNA from 1 species
CUAAGAAUCUUCCACAAUGGACGGAAGUCUGAUGGAGCGACGCCGCGUGGACGAUGAAGGCCGUGAGGUUGUAAAGUCCUUUUCGGGAGGGGGAAUAACCUGGGGAGGGAAUGCCCCGGGGAUGACGUGAAUCCCGGAAUAAGCCCCGGCUAACUACGUGCCAGCAGCCGCGGUAAUACGUAGGGGCGAGCGUUAUCCGGAUUUACUGGGUGUAAAGGGAGCGCAGACGGAAGAGCAAGUCUGAUGUGAAAACCCGGGGCUCAACCCCGGGCCUGCAUUGGAAACUGUCAGACUAGAGUGUCGGAGAGGUAAGUGGAAUUCCUAGUGUAGCGGUGAAAUGCGUAGAUAUUAGGAGGAACACCAGUGGCGAAGGCGGCUUACUGGACGAUAACUGACGCUGAGGCUCGAAAGCGUGGGGAGCAAACAGGAUUAGAUACCCUGGUAGU